rnacentral:rRNA from 1 species
AUUGAACGCUGGCGGCAUGCUUUACACAUGCAAGUCGAACGGUAACAGGUUAAGCUGACGAGUGGCGAACGGGUGAGUAAUGCAUCGGAACGUGCCCGAUCGUGGGGGAUAACGCAGCGAAAGCUGCGCUAAUACCGCAUACGAUCUGAGGAUGAAAGCGGGGGACCGUAAGCCCUCGCGCGAUCGGAGCGGCCGAUGUCAGAUUAGGUAGUUGGUGGGGUAAAGGCUCACCAAGCCGACGAUCUGUAGCUGGUCGGAGAGGACGACCAGCCAAACAUGGCGUGAGACACGGCCGCGACUCCGACGGGAGGCAGCAGCGGGGAAUUGUGGAACAUGGGCGAAAGCCUGAUCCAGCAACGCCGCGUGCAGGAAGAAGGCCUUCGGGUUGUAAACUGCUUUUGUACGGAGCGAAAAGGCUCUCUCUAAUACAGGGGGCUCAUGACGGUACCGUAAGAAUAAGCACCGGCUAACUACGUGCCAGCCGCCGCCGUAA